rnacentral:lncRNA from 1 species
AUUAGAAUUUUAUCUAUUUUAUUUUACAAAACUUGUAAUGUCUUGGGUAAUAGUGGAUUUUUUUACUAAAGAAAAUAAAUCAGUGUCCAUUACCAUCUUCAUACAGUAGUUUCAUGAAUUAACCACAUCAAAUUUUACAUUCUUCACUUGUCAUCUUUGUCUGCAUUCUCUAGUGUUAAGACAACUGCUGCCUGUUUCUGACCUCUGUAUUUACAGAGCAUAGUUCAUUAGAAGUCUUCCUGUUAUGUAUCCAUUCUCUCUUUAGUUUAUCCAUAACUCUUUUAUCUUAUCUAUUCCAAGUACUUUUCUAAGUGUGAGGGAUACAGCAGUGAGCGAAACAUGUAUUAGGUGUCCCUGAAUGUAGUAGAAGGCUUUCCUGUGGUAGGAGGAGAGAGACAGCAAGUGAUCAGCUAGUUCAAUGUGAGGAUGCAUUUUUAUGAAGUUUAUCCUUGUGUUUUCUAGUCUCUAAAACUAAAUGAAAAAGAUUUAGACUAUCAUGAUCGAAAACCCUGCUUAUAAAAUAUAUAUAUGCAUACACAUAUAUGUAGUUUUAUCUUUGAAACAUUUUGUUCAGUAUAUUUGUUUAUUAAAGUAUUUUAUUCAAUUUUGAUAUAUUUACUGUUUACAAUACCAUAACUUUCCUAUAUUAUACUUUAUGAUAUUUCAUUACUUUCUGACAUUUACCUAAUACUUCUAUUAUUAAAUAUCACAUUUAAUCAUUGAUGUUCAUGGAAUGUCCUAUAAACUUGUUAUUUAAUUUCAUUAAUUUAUAUACUUUUUGUUUGUUUGUUUGUUUGUUUGUUUGUUUUGAGACAGGGUUUCUGUUUAUAGCUCUGGCUGUCCUGGAACUCACUUUGUAGACCAGGCUGGCCUUGAACUCAGAAAUCUGCCUGCCUCUGCCUCCUAAGUGCUGGGAUUAAAGGUGUGUGCCACCACGCUCAGCUCAAUUUAUAUACUUUUAAAAAAUUCUUAUAUAUACUUUUCAUUGAUACUGAACAUCUUAAAUUUAAUGGUCUCAUGAAAAUGAGUUACUAAUUCCACGAGACCAACUUACUGAAAUUUAUCAUUUAAUUUAUAUAAAAUUUCCCUUUGUCUUAGUUACUUUUCUCUUUCUCUCACCAAAUGCCAUGAUAAAGAUAGCUUG